GAUCAUGGCUCAGGAUGAACGCUAGCUACAGGCUUAACACAUGCAAGUCGAGGGGCAGCAUGGUCUUAGCUUGCUAAGGCCGAUGGCGACCGGCGCACGGGUGAGUAACACGUAUCCAACCUGCCGUCUACGUCUUGGACAGCCUUCUGAAAGGAAGAUUAAUACAAGAUGGCAUCGAUGGACGUCCCGCAUUGUUCACAUGUAAUUAAAGGUACUUCCGGGUAGACGAGUGGGG
rnacentral:rRNA from 1 species